rnacentral:tRNA from 1 species
GCCGUAUUUGCUCAGUGGCAGAGCACUGGUCUCCAAAACCGGAUGCCGCAGGUUCGAUUCCUGCAUACGGUGCCA